CAACAUUUCAUUAACUGCAGGAACGUCUUCACCGAGCAGCAUACUAACCAGGACAGGAAGAGCAACAGCUGAGCCAGCACCAGCCUCAGAACAAUACAGUGACUCUCACCAAGGAAGUGAUAACCAGAGCAUGGGUUCAGAUUUAAAGCGGUUAUUGAACUUAAGGCUAGUGUCAUUGAGAGACAAGCUAGAAGCGCUGGUGAAAUCAUUUUACGAUAUGGAUGAACUGAAGGACAAGCCAAGUGAGUCCUGGGAGGACGACAACCAGCGUCUGAGCAAUGAAGAGGAAAUAACUGCUUUGGAGUCAGAGGAGAACAUCAUGCUUGAAAAUCAGAAGGGAAGAACUAUUUCUGUUUGAGUCAAAGGAAAUAGAAGAGGAAGAAGCCGCUGUGUUUUUUGAGGCUGCACAAAUAAAGUUGAGAGGUCGACGAGAGAAGCGCAGACACGCUGCAGCAGAGUAUCAACCAAAGUCAUCAGGACAGAAGAAAUCACUGUGAAAAGAUUUACUUGGUGGUUCAUGAAGAAAAUGAGCAAAUGAUGCCUGGACGUCCAAGUGGAGUUGUUUUUCUGAGUGGAGGGAAGGUGUUCUCUGGUUUCUGUACGGGUUUUCACCGGGUGCUCAAGUCAAGUCAAGUGGAGACAGUCUGACACCCAGCUGAGACUUGUGGAGACUCUGACAUGAAAGCGUGUUUCGUUCUUACUCUUCUCCGCUAGCAGCAGGUUCUGUUGUGGCGCUGGUCCAAAAGCAAAACCAUUUUUAACUCCGCCAGAGUGUCUCUUUUGGGUCACUUUUGCCGGUCCCCAGCCCGGAUAAAGGAGGAGGGUUGGAAUUGUGACAUUUACAAAAAACAAGCAUCAACAGAAGAAAGUUCAUUUGUAGUUCUAAACAUAUUUAUGGUGUUUAAUUUUAUGCACAUGACCAAUUGUGGACGUCAUUUAAGGACUCCGGGCCAGUAGCUACUUAUAGCAAGCAGCAAAUCAUAGCAUCUCAAAACAGCACUUGAGUAAAUGUACUUAGUUAGUCUACAUUCCAUCCCCAUAUAACACAUGAUGUAGUAAACACUGCUGGAAUAGAUACUGAAUGACAAGCAGAUCAUGUUUAUAUGUUAAUAUAGAUGGUCAGUGUUUGGUCCUUCAUCCAUGUAAACAUUAUCAACACAUUAUAUCCUCGGCAUCCAUAUUACAACCAUUGUGGUGAUGAACUGUGUAUAAAUUCAGGCUGAUUGUUUCUGUGCUCAGUGUUCUUUUCAUCAAGAAUGACAAGAAGUCGACAGCAGAAGGUUUGUAGUUGACUUUAUUUUUUAAUGCUGCAUCACCUGCCUUGUUUAAAAAGGGUCCCCGUUGGACAAAAAGAGAAAUCUGUGGUGAUCAGGAGGACGUGACCUCCACCAUCUGUGGCCGAACACACGCAGGGUUUCUGAUGCUUUAUCACCCUCAAGGGGGCUCAAGUGGAAUUACACAAAUCUCAUGGAGUUCCUCUGAUUUACCGAGUUGUCGCUUCCUGCAGCUUCAAUCUAUAAAUAUCACCAAUUUACGCCACUCGUGCUGUGAGGCAGCGGACUAUUUCACCACACAGAUUUCAAGGAGCGCCGGUUGUCUUUUUCCCUCCAAAAAUGUCCUCUUGUCCUCCUCUCUGUCCUCUCUGUCCUCUCUCUCUCUGUCCUCUCUCUCGCUCUCUGUCUGAUCUUUGCCUUCUUUUUCAUCCUGUCUCACUCCUUUUUUUCCCACCACCUCAUUCAAAUCCUUUACUUUCUCUCAUUUUCCCCUUUCUUUCUCCAAGUCUGGCCCCCUGAACUUUGUCAAACACAGGAGAAAAAAAACCACACACACACACUGAGGCAAACACAGAGAGGCAAGGCCCUCUCUAGACUGCUGCCGGUGCUGGAGUGCGAACCGGACACAUUCAACUGUACUUAACAUGUUGAGAGCUAUUCAGGCCUUUCUGCUCCACAGACAGACUCUAACCCCAUUUUCCAAAAUGGGAUACCCCCUGAUCUGCAGCACCAGGCUUGUAUGAGCGCUGGACUUUGCACCUGAGCAAAAGAAACUGACAAAAAACUAAAAAAAACUAAAAAAAAAAAAAAAGAUUGGCAAUGGCGGGUCAAGCAUCAGGUUGAAACUCACAAGAAAACUCACAUGAAAAAGUUUUACGAUAUCUAUCUUUCGCAUUAAAAUAAAUUGUGAAGGAUUCUGUUGCAGAAUCUGAUACUGAGUCUUGUGUUUUUGUUAUUUGCCGAAUAAGUUAAUCGUCUUUCUCUUCACGUCUCUCUUGGCUGCCGUCCACCUGCUGCCUGUAUUUGGUGACAUAAUGUUUCAGACCAAUCAUGAUAUUAAUUAUUCAUCAGCCUGUCUUGUAAAACCAUGGUUGCCCUGUAAAAGCAGAAUUUCUCCAAGCGUUCGUCUGCCCACCUGAGUUGACCCGAAGAGCAGAGAUGUUCAUUUUUAUAUUUUGUUGUUCUGUAACAACUAAAAGCUUUGAACAGAGAGCUUCUACAGCCACAACUCUGCUGGUUUUGUUCUGGUUAAAAAAAAAAAAGUUCAUUGACCUCUAAAAUUGUCAAGAAAGGUUCGUCCAGGCUUUACAUUUACAUAAACACACACUCUCCCUCUCCUCAAUAUCUCCCUCUUUCUGUUUGUCUUUCAGUGUCUCUCACUCAUCCACCCACAGAGCAGAGUUUCAUCCCGUCCGUGGUGAUCCGUCCCUCGCUGAUGCUCAGAGGUCAGGGGCGUGAUGUCCAUCCACAACUCCUGUUUUCACAAAGGCAGACGCAAGAAUUGCGUUUGGACAAUCAGCUCCGGACCUCCGUCUCUUUCUUCGUCAUCGGCACGUUCUCAUACUCACACAAACUUUUUCAUGGUCAGGUGAACAGCCUGGCUUGAUUUAAAGUUUCUGAAGGCAGUUCAGCUUUACAUCACCAACUUCAGAGAGUGGAUGGUGCGAUUCCAUCCAAAUAUCACCUCUCAUCCUCCUUUUGCUGGUCAGUAUCAGCGCAGUGUUUGACCCCCAGCUGGCCACAGGUCAGUGCCUACGGAUGGACAAGAAGGAAAGGAUGGUCAGACCAGAACAGAGGAAUGAGCGGGAAGGCAGGGAGAAAGGAAGAGGAGAAAAGAGAGAGGGAGAAAAAAGCUCUAACUCAAGCUUGUCCUCUGUGUGGUGUGACACCAUGAUGAACGAAGGGGUCACCACCCGGGGGCAGGCCCGUCCAAAAGGAGCCGGCGAUGUGACCCUCUACAAAAGAAGAAGUGGGUCCCCCAACGGUCACACAGAUCAAAGAAGACAAAAGCCUGAGAUGAUAACUCAGCACAGCAGUGGAGCGCAUUAUUAUGAGACGCAUGAGCAGCAGCGGUAGUAAAUUUAACUGAGUUGGAGACAAGAGGGUGGAGCAGGGGGGGAGAAAAAAAAACCUGAAAAUGAAAAAGUAAAGCUCUGACUCGCCCUAAUCUGAUUUGCCGUAUGCAACAUUUUAUCUUUAGCUGAUUCGCUCCGUGAGGUGUUUUCUCUUUCUGUGGGAGCCCGUCUUUAUCCAAAUGAUGUGGUCUUUGGUGAGGCCUGGCCUAUUCAUGGGAACCCCAUGUGCUGUGUGCCCACCAUUGAGGUGCAGAGCAGCAUGGCCACAAAGGAUGGCAGCGUUUCAGAGAGGGUCCUUUCCUUACAGAUAAAGUCUCUGUGCAGAACAAAGUUUACACUUAGAUCACAGAGCCAGUAACUCCACCACGUAGUUCAAGAAGUAAAAAAGAGAAAAGGCUUGUUAUCUCAAUGCUGGAACACAAAUGUCUUUUAAUACUUAUGAUUAUCAGUAAACAUUAGACUUUGCUCUUCUUAAGGAAAGUGAACUAUAAACGUUCUGUCAUGAAUGCCAGUGAGACGUGAUGGUUAAAACUUUUUUCCCAGUAAAAAAUAAAACUUUGCAAUAAAAUUUGCUAACCAUCUAUAUUUAAAUCAUGUUUAUUCUAUGUUAUGAAUAAACAUGUUAAAAAUAAAAUAGUAUUCUCAAUGUUCCUGACAGAAACAGAUCCCUCUUCACCUCCUGCUGGUCCUAAAAGAGGCCUAGAGGCCUGAACUCAGCUGGUUCACACUUCUCCUCAGGUGCUGCCACCACACAGGCUACUGGAGCCCGUUUCAAAAAGACCUGUCGUGUUAAAAAGUAAAAAAAGAAAGAAAAAAAGGGUGUAAUAUCUAAAUUUACAUCAGUUAAUAUGAGCUUAAAGCAAUGGAAAAUAAAAAAAUGGGACAAGAGAAAGACAAAAGCACAGUAGUGCCCUGUAUCUGGACCCUUUGGGGCCUAAAACCUGUUUUAAGAAUUACUGCAAAAAGCACAUGACAAAGUCCCUCUGAGCUGCAGAGGAUUCAUCCUUACAUGUCGGACAGGCGUCCUCGCCUCUCAUUCUUCCUCCCUCAGUUCUGGGUCGAGUUUUAGCUGCAUCGCUGUCGACGUCUGGCCGCACUUGUCCUACUUCUCCAUCUUUCAUUCUCGCCGCCUCUGCUGCCUCUGAUCCUGCGUCCUUCUCCCUCUCCUUCUUCAACCCUUUCUGUCCGGCCCUCCCUCUGCCUUUACAUUUCCUUCGCCCUCUCUCAAUUUCCCCGCCCUCUCUCUCUCUCUCUCUCUCUCUCUCUCGCUCUCUCUCUUCCUCUCCUCAUUUCAUGCAGUGCUGGG